UCUACUCAGGCACAGUCAGGAGAGCAACAGCCUCCAGCAGCAAUCUUGGUAUGGGACCUUCUUACGGGACCUGAUGGCUGUGAUUCAGGCCUACUUUGCCUGUACCUUCAAUCUGGAGAGGAGCCAGACAAAUGACAGCCUGCAGGUGUUUCAGGAGGCUGCCAACCUUUUUCUGGACCUGUUGGGGAAACUGCUGGCCCAACCAGAUGACUCUGAGCAGACUUUGCGGAGGGACAGCCUUAUGUGCUUUACUGUCCUGUGCGAAGCCAUGGAUGGGAACAGCCGGGCCAUCUCCAAAGCCUUUUACUCCAGCUUGCUGACGACACAGCAGGUUGUCUUGGAUGGGCUCCUUCAUGGCUUGACAGUUCCACAGCUCCCUGUCCACACUCCCCCAGGUAACCAGAGUGGAGAAGGGAGGUUCUCUUGACUUACUUGUUGCAUAGGUCAGGCUCCGCUCUUUCUAUUGCCAUCACCUAGAUCGCACCUGGCAUUUAGUAGGUGCUCAAUAAAUAACUGUGAACUGAGAGAAUGAAUGGGGAUCUGAGGGAAACAAACAGACCUCAUCCUGCAUUCUUCCCACUCCCUUAGGUUCCCUACUCCUGCUGCCAUGUCGGUGAGUACUGGUGCUAUUGUCUAGGGCAAGAGCCUCAGG
rnacentral:sRNA from 1 species